UACGAAGGGGGCUAGCGUUGCUCGGAAUCACUGGGCGUAAAGCGCACGUAGGCGGCUUUCUAAGUCAGGGGUGAAAUCCUGGAGCUCAACUCCAGAACUGCCUUUGAUACUGGAAAGCUUGAGUUCGGGAGAGGUGAGUGGAACUGCGAGUGUAGAGGUGAAAUUCGUAGAUAUUCGCAAGAACACCAGUGGCGAAGGCGGCUUACUGGUCCGGUUCUGACGCUGAGGCGCGAAAGCGUGGGGAGCAAACAGG
rnacentral:rRNA from 1 species